rnacentral:rRNA from 1 species
AUUAGAGUUUGAUCCUGGCUCAGGAUGAACGCUGGCGGCGUGCUUAACACAUGCAAGUCGAACGAAGCACAAGGGAGAGCUUGCUCUUCCUUGUGACUGAGUGGCGGACGGGUGAGUAACGCGUGGGUAACCUGCCAUACACAGGGGGAUAACAGCUGGAAACGGCUGCUAAUACCGCAUAACCCGAUAGUACCGCAUGGUACGGACGGAAAAGAUUUAUCGGUGUAUGAUGGACCCGCGUCUGAUUAGCUAGUUGGAGGGGUAACGGCCCACCAAGGCGACGAUCGGUAGCCGACUUGAGAGAGUGAUCGGCCACAUUGGGACUGAGACACGGCCCAAACUCCUACGGGAGGCAGCAGUGGGGAAUAUUGCACAAUGGGGGAAACCCUGAUGCAGCGACGCCGCGUGAGUGAAGAAGUAUUUCGGUAUGUAAAGCUCUAUCAGCAGGGAAGAUAAUGACGGUACCUGACUAAGAAGCCCCGGCUAACUACGUGCCAGCAGCCGCGGUAAUAAU